CUCUAACCCUAAACACUGCUCUGAAAUCACACCUCCCAGGCCCAGACACCUGGAGGUGCUUUGGUGACAGUGACGUGCGGGCCAAACAGGUAUAAAUGCAGGACUACCAGGACUACUAAGAACCACCGCGGGGCGGGGGGUGGGUGGAUCUCCCACACUUCUAAUAAACACACACUUGCACACAUGCACUUCUUGGUGAAAAUCAGGCAAGCCAUCUUCAGUCCCCAGGUUCCUCCUCCGACCCACGGUUUCCCUUGCGUCCUCAGCAGACUUGCCAUCUCCUCCCGGGUCACAGGACCACUCCGUGUUUACUUUCCUUUCUCCCACUCAGGCCGGCCAGCGGAUCCCUAAGCUAACUAACCCCGUCACCAAUUGCUUUCCCUCUCACUCCCAGAUCCCAAAAGCGGAGCGAGAGGGGCACCCGAGCGCGCCACGUGGAUCGCGAGCCAGCAGCCAGAUGGAGACAGUUCUUAAAAGAGGGGUCCCUGCCUCGCCAGUCCCCGCGGCUCUGCUCCCGCCCUGGGCGCCUGAGACUUGCCUGGUUAGGGUCGGUGGCUCUGAAGACGUGGCAAGCCAUCUGCGACUCCGGGUCGUCCGGCUGCGCCUUGAUCAGGCGCCGCGGAAACUGCCAACUGUCGCCCCAGGCCCCCGCGCCUGCCUUGGUGCCACCAGCCCUUGAAGUCCGCGCUUCAGCGGCCCUGCCCCAUGCGACACUUUCCCCGGCGCGGCGAGGAGGCUCCGGCUGCAGCGCAGUGGACUAGCAGGAGACCGAGGCUCACGCGUGCAUCCUCCUUCCUGGAGAUCGCGCCUGCGGAGCCGCCUGACCUCCUGCCGCCCGUCCUCGAGGUCGGGGACCACGCCGACCCGGGUCUCCUGCUCCGGCUCCUGCAGCCCGCUGCGGCCGCCGUGCUCGCCCAACGCUGGCACUGGAAGGCUGGGCGGAGAGUGGGGCUGUGGGCGGGAAGGGGUGACUCGGGGCGGAGCUGACUGCUAGCAGGGUGACCGGCUGUCACCUGGAAGGUCGGGGGCGCGGGGUUGCGGCCCGCUCAGUCCCGGAGAACUAGUCCAGUGGAAAAUAACAAAAACAAACGUGGCCUUUCGCGGGCGGCUCCUCCAAGCCGCCGGCUCUGCAGCCCAGCUCGCCGCUCCUCCUCCAGGGUUCCCGUCCCUCCCUCGUUUCUUCCUUCCUUCCUUCCAGGCCGCUACUUUAAAGCCGGGCUGCUGCCCUGCCUCCAAUCCCGCCAGAGGAGAGCUUUGCCUGCAGCCGCAGAUCCUCCCAGCUUCUUCCUCCUGCCUCCGCCCCUCACCUCGCCUCAGGGGGCAGCCGUACCCAGCCUAGCGCGGGCACUUCCCGGACCUGCUCGGCCUCUCUCCUCUCCUGGAGACUCUACUGCCCCCUGGAGAGGGGCCACCCUCAGUGGGGCGCUGGGAUUUUUCUUUUUUUUAAGCAAUAUUUGCUUGGUUUUAUUUCGUCUAAAAUCUGAACAUCACUAUAUUCUGCACCCUUUUUCCUACUCUCGAGCCCUGCUGGUGUUUUCAAUCACAAUUUUAUGACAAAAUAGUUUAAUUACAAUAUUCACCUUAAACUUUAACAGUUCGAUAUGAAUCUUCCCAUUUCUUAGUGAAGCUAACUUCUUAAAAUAUAAAGAAGUUAAACUUCUUUACGUAUCCCCACUUCAGAACUAAUGUAAAUUUCUUCCCUUUUAUGUAUGAGAAUACAUAUUUCAAAAAGCAUUUCAGUGAUAAUUUGGUUAUUCUAUUUGUAAAGCAAAACGGUAGUAAUAUAAUUGUGUUUUCCAUUUUAGCAAAUUAAACUGGUUUUGUUAUU